ensembl:lncRNA
GCUCGAGCCAACAUGGAGGGUCGGAGCUCGGCGCGCGACCGAGCGGCUCUCAGGACAACCUGGCAAGGGUUGCAAUGAAGGAAGAAAGGGAUAUAUAUAUCUCUAUCUAUUUUAAACCUCAGAACCUUUCUCUCUCUAUCUCUUUUUUAAAAUCGUUUAACUCGAGGAAGAAUAAAAAUUUUUGUUGAGUCGUGAUUUGAGGAAGCCAUGAGCUCGGGGGAAGGAGAGGACGUGUGUAAGGACGGAGCCGAUGUAGCGGCGCACUUCAGAGCCGACUGCUCUCUUCCGAAGUGUGAACCCAAGCUUGAUUUAGCGGGACACACAGACAUGCUAGGCUUUCUAGAUUUAUUUCUGUCGUUUUGGAAUCUUCAGAAGACACCACUGGAGCCUUUUAUUUAGGUGCUUUGUCACUGAUCUGCACCGAAGCGAUCACCCCCAAGGCUUCUACAGGGUCAUCCAAACCGCUCGGCCUGUUUUCGAAAGCUUUAUGGGACAAUGAAAAUGAUGGGAAAUGGC